rnacentral:lncRNA from 1 species
UUUUUUUUCAUAUGUUUUUUUUUUAACUUUUUUUUUCCAAGAAUACAUAUUCAUAAAAUCUAUUAGGGUUUAAUAAUGUCUAUUAAGCUUCGAUAAAUUUUGUUCAUAUUUUUUUUUUUCUCAGUUUGCUAGUUCAAUAAUGUCUUAAUAUUUGUUUUAACCAAAUCAUUAAUAUAUUUGCAUUUAAAAUUCAUUAAAUUCAAACAUAAUUUUAUAAUAUAUAAAUUAUAUAUAAAUAUGAAAUUCUUAAUUAAUAAUUAAAAGAUCUCAGGAUUACGUUAUGUUCGGAAGAGGUAAUCUCACCUUCCUAUCUAAAAAUUGACAGAAUUUACAAAUAUAAAUUUCAACAGCCUAUCAAACAGAAAAAAAUAUAACUGUAGUAGUUGCAAUUGUAUAAAACCAAACAAAUUAGGUAUAGUUAACGCUGCAGCAUUUGUAACUGUAUGUAUUUCCAACUAUAAUAUUUUUGUAAUCACAUUUAACCAAACCGCCCCUAAUAAUUGUUGGCUUAAAUGAACCAGCAUUCUACCCUAUAACGGGAGGCCAUGUUGGGCCGAGUCAUGUUCAAAAUGGCAUGAGGCUGGGUGGGUCGAGACAUGUUCAAAGUGACGUGAGGCUGAUUGAGCCGAAUUAUAAUCAAGACCCAUGGGCGCUGUAUCUAUACGCUUUAAGUGAAUUAGCUGUAUAUUUCUAACAGCUCGAGCUUUUGAAAUUAAUGAUUAGCGUCAACGAUCCGAUACUAAUGGCUAUUUAUUAUGGUUAUU